rnacentral:rRNA from 1 species
GAUGAACGCUAGCGAUAGGCUUAACACAUGCAAGUCGAGGGGCAGCAUGGUCUUAGCUUGCUAAGACUGAUGGCGACCGGCGCACGGGUGCGUAACGCGUAUGCAACUUGCCUCACAGAGGGGGAUAACCCGUCGAAAGACGGACUAAUACCGCGUACACUCCAUCUUGGGCAUCCAAGGUAGAGGAUAUGAAAUUCGCUGUGAGAUAGGCAUGCGUCCCAUUAGCUAGUUGGUGAGGUAACGGCUCACCAAGGCGACGAUGGGUAGGGGAACUGAGAGGUUGAACCCCCACACUGGUACUGAGACACGGACCAGACUCCUACGGGAGGCAGCAGUGAGGAAUAUUGGUCAAUGGGCGAGAGCCUGAACCAGCCAAGUCGCGUGAAGGAUGACUGUCUUAUGGAUUGUAAACUUCUUUUAUACGGGAAUAACAAGAGUCACGUGUGACUCCCUGCAUGUACCGUAUGAAUAAGCAUCGGCUAACUCCGUG